rnacentral:rRNA from 1 species
GAUGAAUGCUGGCGGCGUGCCUAACACAUGCAAGUCGAGCGGCAGCGAGGGGUGCUUGCACCCUGUCGGCGAGCGGCGAACGGCUGAGUAACGCGUAGGAAUUUGCCCCAAAGUGAGGAAUAACUGCCCGAAAGGGUAGCUAAUGCCGCAUAUGGUCUUCGGAUUAAAGGAUUUAUCCGCUUUGGGAGAAGCCUGCGUUGGAUUAGGUUGUUGGUAGGGUAAUGGCCUACCAAGCCGACGAUCCAUAGCUGGUCUGAGGGGAUGAUCAGCCAGACUGGAACUGAGACACGGUCCAGACUCCUACGGGAGGCAGCAGUGAGGAAUCUUCCACAAUGGGCGAAAGCCUGAUGGAGCAACGCCGCGUGAAGGAUGAAGGCCUUCGGGUUGUAAACUUCUUUUAUGAGUGAAGAAUAUGACGGUAACUCAUGAAUAAGCACCGGCUAACUACGUG